CGGACGGGUGAGUAACGCGUAAAGAACUUAGCCCUUUAGACUGGGAGUAACAGAGGGAAACUUCUGAUAAUACUGGAUAAGUUAGUAUAUCGCAUGAUAUGCAAAUGAAAGCUACGGCACUAAAGGAGAGCUUUGCGUCCUAUUAGCUAGUUGGUAAGGUAAGAGCUUACCAAGGCGAUGAUAGGUAGCCGGCCUGAGAGGGUGGACGGCCACAAGGGGACUGAGAUACGGCCCUUACUCCUACGGGAGGCAGCAGCU
rnacentral:rRNA from 1 species